rnacentral:rRNA from 1 species
GGUGAAAAGCACCCCGGAAGGGGAGUGAAAUAGAACCUGAAACCGUGUGCUUACAAGUAGUCAGAGCCCGUUAAUGGGUGAUGGCGUGCCUUUUGUAGAAUGAACCGGCGAGUUACGAUUUGAUGCAAGGUUAAGCAGUAAAUGUGGAGCCGUAGCGAAAGCGAGUCUGAAUAGGGCGUUUAGUAUUUGGUCGUAGACCCGAAACCAGGUGAUCUACCCUUGGUCAGGUUGAAGUUCAGGUAACACUGAAUGGAGGACCGAACCGACUUACGUUGAAAAGUGAGCGGAUGAACUGAGGGUAGCGGAGAAAUUCCAAUCGAACCUGGAGAUAGCUGGUUCUCUCCGAAAUAGCUUUAGGGCUAGCCUCAAGUGAUGAUUAUUGGAGGUAGAGCACUGUUUGGACGAGGGGCCCCUCUCGGGUUACCGAAUUCAGACAAACUCCGAAUGCCAAUUAAUUUAACUUGGGAGUCAGAACAUGGGUGAUAAGGUCCGUGUUCGAAAGGGAAACAGCCCAGACCACCAGCUAAGGUCCCAAAAUAUAUGUUAAGUGGAAAAGGAUGUGGCGUUGCCCAGACAACUAGGAUGUUGGCUUAGAAGCAGCCAUCAUUUAAAGAGUGCGUAAUAGCUCACUAGUCGAGUGACACUGCGCCGAAAAUGUACCGGGGCUAAACAUAUUACCGAAGCUGUGGAUUGUCCUUUGGACAAUGGUAGGAGAGCGUUCUAAGGGCGUUGAAGCAUGAUCGUAAGGACAUGUGGAGCGCUUAGAAGUGAGAAUGCCGGUGUGAGUAGCGAAAGACGGGUGAGAAUCCCGUCCACCGAUUGACUAAGGUUUCCAGAGGAAGGCUCGUCCGCUCUGGGUUAGUCGGGUCCUAAGCUGAGGCCGACAGGCGUAGGCGAUGGAUAACAGGUUGAUAUUCCUGUACCACCUAUAAUCGUUUUAAUCGAUGGGGGGACGCAGUAGGAUAGGCGAAGCGUGCGAUUGGAUUGCACGUCUAAGCAGUAAGGCUGAGUAUUAGGCAAAUCCGGUACUCAUUAAGGCUGAGCUGUGAUGGGGAGAAGACAUUGUGUCUUCGAGUCGUUGAUUUCACACUGCCGAGAAAAGCCUCUAGAUAGAAAAUAGGUGCCCGUACCGCAAACCGACACAGGUAGUCAAGAUGAGAAUUCUAAGGUGAGCGAGCGAACUCUCGUUAAGGAACUCGGCAAAAUGACCCCGUAACUUCGGGAGAAGGGGUGCUCUUUAGGGUUAACGCCCAGAAGAGCCGCAGUGAAUAGGCCCAAGCGACUGUUUAUCAAAAACACAGGUCUCUGCUAAACCGUAAGGUGAUGUAUAGGGGCUGACGCCUGCCCGGUGCUGGAAGGUUAAGAGGAGUGGUUAGCUUCUGCGAAGCUACGAAUCGAAGCCCCAGUAAACGGCGGCCGUAACUAUAACGGUCCUAAGGUAGCGAAAUUCCUUGUCGGGUAAGUUCCGACCCGCACGAAAGGCGUAACGAUUUGGGCACUGUCUCAACGAGAGACUCGGUGAAAUCAUAGUACCUGUGAAGAUGCAGGUUACCCGCGACAGGACGGAAAGACCCCGUGGAGCUUUACUGUAGCCUGAUAUUGAAAUUCGGCACAGCUUGUACAGGAUAGGUAGGAGCCUUUGAAACGUGAGCGCUAGCUUACGUGGAGGCGCUGGUGGGAUACUACCCUAGCUGUGUUGGCUUUCUAAC